UCAGAACGAACGCUGGCGGCGCGUCUUAAGCAUGCAAGUCGAACGGCAAGAGGUAGCAAUACCUCCUAGAGUGGCGGACUGGUGAGUAACACGUGGGUGACCUACCCUUCAGAUGGGGAUAGCUAUUAGAAAUAGUAGAUAAUACCGAAUACGAGCACAGGGGUUAGAGAUCUGUGAGGAAAGGAGCUAAGGCUCCGCUGAAGGAAUGGCCUGCGGCCCAUUAGCUAGUUGGUGAGGUAAGAGCCCACCAAGGCGAUGAUGGGUAUCCGGCCUUAGAGGGUGAACGGACACAUUGGGACUGAGAUACGGCCCAGACUCCUACGGGAGGCAGCAGCUAAGAAUAUUCCGCAAUGGACGAAAGUCUGACGGAGCGACGCCGCGUGGAUGAAGAAGGCCGGAAGGUUGUAAAAUCCUUUUGAAACUGAAGAAUAAGCGUUGUAGGGAAUGACAGCGUGGUGACAGUAGGUUCUGAAUAAGCAACGGCUAAUUACGUGCCAGCCGCCGC
rnacentral:rRNA from 1 species